rnacentral:rRNA from 1 species
UACGGGGGGGGCAAGCGUUGUUCGGAAUUACUGGGCGUAAAGGGCUCGUAGGUGGCCAACUAAGUCAGACGUGAAAUCCCUCGGCUUAACCGGGGAACUGCGUCUGAUACUGGGAGGCUUGAGUAUGGGAGAGGGAUGUAGAAUUCCAGGUGUAGCGGUGAAAUGCGUAGAUAUCUGGAGGAAUACCGGUGGCGAAGGCGGCAUCCUGGACCAUAACUGACGCUGAGGCGCGAAAGCGUGGGUAGCAAACGGG